rnacentral:lncRNA from 1 species
CUCCGAGUCCGAGGCACCUAAACCACUGACAGCAUGCCGAGCACCUCCGAAAAGGCCCUUCCCGAACAGCAUCCGCCAUGAGAACAUUGCCAGGUGACAGGUGAACAAAUCACAGGUCUUGAGUUUCUCUACCCUGCCUCUCUUGGUAACGUCAUCUCCAGUACCAUCUGCUACCUACCAGACAAACAGACCAACCACAUAAUGAGGUACCAGCUUCCACCCAGCUACCGUGACUAAAUCAGAACAAAAGACUCAACGCCUCCACGCCUCCUUCAACAAAGGAACACAAGUCUAAGCUGUCUUUGCUAAUUGCUGGGUUUCAGG